rnacentral:tRNA from 1 species
GUCUCGUAGUUCAACUGCGAUAGAAUACCCGAAGAGAUUCGGGAGAUGUGGGUUCGAUUCCCAUCGGGCGCGGCA